GCCGCGGGAGCCCGAAGCCGGGAGCGCGGAGCUCGGCGCUGCGGGGCCCGGGCCGGGGCUCGCGCGGGCCGGAGCCGGCUGGGUCAGCUAAAGCGCUGCCGGGGAGGGGGCCGGGGCCGGGCCGAGCUCAGGAUGGCGCAGCCGCGGCCCCUGGAGCCCCCGGGCCGUCCUCGGAGGGGAUCACUGCCCUCUGGGGCCGGCUGGCAGAACACAGAUCUGUUUGAGAUGAUUGAAAAGAUGCAGGGAAGCAGGAUGGAUGAACAGCGAUGCUCCUUCCCGCCACCCCUCAAAACGGAGGAGGACUACAUUCCCUACCCGAGCGUCCACGAGGUCCUGGGGCGAGAAGGGCCCUUCCCCCUCAUCCUGCUGCCCCAGUUUGGGGGCUACUGGAUUGAAGGCACCAAUCACGAAAUCACCAGCAUCCCGGAGACAGAGCCGCUGCAGUCACCCACGGCCAAGGUGAAGCUGGAGUGCAACCCCACCGCCCGCAUCUACCGCAAGCACUUUCUUGGCAAGGAGCAUUUUAAUUACUACUCACUGGACACCGCCCUGGGCCACCUUGUCUUCUCACUCAAGUAUGAUGUCAUCGGGGACCAGGAACACCUGCGUCUGCUGCUCAGGGCCAAGUGCCGGACAUACCAUGACGUCAUCCCCAUCUCCUGCCUCACUGAGUUCCCCAACGUGGUCCAGAUGGCAAAGGCCCUCCCUUAUCCGCUCCCGCAGCUGGUGUGUGAAGACGUGAAUGUGGAUCGAUUCUAUCCUGUGCUCUACCCCAAGGCCUCCCGCCUCAUUGUCACCUUCGACGAGCAUGUCAUCAGCAAUAACUUCAAGUUUGGAGUCAUUUAUCAGAAGCUUGGGCAGACCUCCGAGGAAGAACUCUUCAGCACCAACGAGGAGAGCCCCGCCUUCGUGGAGUUCCUCGAAUUCCUUGGCCAGAAGGUCAAACUGCAGGACUUUAAGGGGUUCCGAGGAGGCCUGGACGUGACCCACGGGCAGACGGGAACCGAGUCUGUGUACUGCAACUUCCGCAACAAGGAGAUCAUGUUUCACGUGUCCACCAAGCUGCCCUACACAGAAGGGGACGCCCAGCAGUUGCAGCGGAAGCGGCACAUCGGGAACGACAUCGUGGCUGUGGUCUUCCAGGACGAGAACACGCCCUUUGUGCCGGACAUGAUUGCGUCCAACUUUCUGCAUGCCUAUGUGGUGGUGCAGGCCGAGAGUGGGGGCCCCGAUGGCCCCCUGUACAAGGUCUCCGUCACUGCGAGAGACGACGUGCCCUUCUUCGGGCCACCCCUCCCGGACCCUGCUGUGUUCAGGAAGGGGCCUGAGUUCCAGGAAUUUUUGCUGACGAAACUGAUCAAUGCUGAAUACGCUUGCUACAAGGCAGAGAAGUUUGCCAAACUAGAGGAGCGGACACGGGCCGCCCUCCUGGAGACGCUCUAUGAGGAACUGCACAUCCACAGCCAGUCCAUGAUGGGCCUGGGUGGAGACGAGGACAAGAUGGAGAACGGCGGCGGGGGCGGCGGCUUCUUUGAGUCCUUCAAGCGGGUCAUCCGGAGCCGCAGCCAGUCCAUGGAUGCCAUGGGGCUGAGCAACAAGAAGCCCAACACCGUGUCCACCAGCCACAGCGGGAGCUUUGCGCCCAACAACCCGGACCUGGCCAAGGCGGCUGGAAUAUCCCUGAUUGUCCCUGGAAAGAGCCCCACCAGGAAGAAGUCGGGCCCGUUUGGCUCACGCCGCAGCAGUGCCAUCGGCAUUGAGAACAUACAGGAGGUGCAGGAGAAAAGGGAGAGCCCCCCGGCUGGCCAGAAGACCCCAGACAGCGGGCACGUCUCACAGGAGCCCAAGUCGGAGAACUCAUCCACUCAGAGCUCCCCAGAGAUGCCCACGACCAAAAACAGAGCGGAGACAGCAGCUCAGAGAGCAGAAGUGCUGAAGGACUUCUCCCGCUCCUCGUCCAGUGCCAGCAGCUUCGCCAGCGUCGUGGAGGAAGCAGAGGGUGUGGACGGGGACGAUACAGGCCUGGAGAGUGUCUCAUCCUCGGGGACGCCCCACAAGCGGGACUCCUUCAUCUAUAGCACGUGGCUGGAGGACAGUGUCAGCACCACAAGUGGGGGCAGCUCCCCAGUGAGGUGGCUCCCUCCUGCCUCCCUCCCCAGGCCCCUCUCGGUCACCCCACCCAGACGCCGGCAAGUCGGGGGACCCUGCAUGUCCCGAGAUCAAGAUCCAGCUGGAAGCAUCUGAACAGCACAUGCCCCAGCUGGGCUGUUAGCCAGGAUGCCCCUCUGAAGGUGACACUGAGCAGAUGAGGCCACAGAAGCACAAGGUGAAGAUGCUGUGUCAAAUCCAGGCAGACGGGACCUCUGCCCCCGAGGCCAGCACCAGCCUGUGGGCUGCCCCCCGCCUCGCCAGCCCUCCUCCUGGCCCACUGUCUGGGCUGUCUCUGCAGGGCGGAGCCAUCCAGACCUGGGAGCGGGGAAGCUGCUGGCACCAUCCCCACCCCCUGGGCUGGGGGGCCGGCUGGGGCAGGGAGUGGUCACUUGAAACAGGACUCCAGGCCUGGCCAUCCAUCACCCCUGGGUGCCCCUCUGGACUCAGGGGGAGUGAGCUGGAAGGGGGGAUUGAGACAUCUCAGUGCAUACAGAGCCUACUGUGGAGGCCGUGGGGUGUGAGGUGUGGUAGAAUGAGCACUGGGCUGGGAGUCCUAAGUCCUAGCUUUUAAUUUGGGUUCUGCUCUGUGACUAUGGGCAAAUCACUCUCCCUCUCUGGGCGCCUCUGCUAUAAAUGGACAAGAUUAUUUCAGAGGUCACUGAAGGCUGUGAGUCCAUGCACCUGCCCCAGAAUGGAGGAUCGUCAUCCUAGAGACCUCCCAUCACCCUACCCUGCUUCUUGGGGUUCCUGGGGCCCCCGGUGGGCCGAGGCUGUGCCCAUUGCCCCUCCUGGACCCUCAGUCUCUACCGCAGAUCUGCCGAUGCCCUGUCCACUGCCUCCACGACAGACGAGUGACCCGCUUGUGGGGGAAGUGGGAGCUGCCUGGCUCCUCAGCCAGCACCCAGCUUAACCCCUGCCUUCCCAUGCUCCUGGGCACGCCGGGCCGAGGGGUCUCAGCUGGCCUAGAGUUAUGGGCCGCACCUUUGCGCCACCCUCACCCACCACGGAGGGGGCAGCCAGGCACAGCUGCUGUGAGUCCACAUCCUUGUGUGCGUCUGUCCACACUUUUUAGGCGCCACGCCAAAGGCCAGCCUCCUGGCCCCAGCACCCAUUUUGGAAGCCCCCCGUGGCCGUGUGUAUGUCAGUAACAGUUGUACAAAAUAAAUUCUAUUUAUCGCUAUUG